GGUUAAGCCAACAUUGGAUGCCAUGCCUUCCUGCAAGGGGAGUGAUUUUAACUAUGGCUAGAUUUGGUCCAUUAACGCUCCGUGAAGGAUUUGGGGUCUGUGUUCCUGAGGCUUAUCGGGCCAUGGCUUCUUUUCUUGUGAUGCCUUUGGCUGGAUUAUCCAGAUAAUUCUUCACCGAAUGAAUCGAGCUGCAGUCCCUCCGCUUCAGUUUUCGGAGUGGUUUGUGAAAGUUCCUUGGGCGGCGAAGGCCCGACCCCACCAGCUGUUUACAAUCCAUCAUCCAGCAGUUUCCAUGUGGUUGUCAUGCUGCUUGUGACGGGAAAGAGAAUCUCGGUGUCCAAAUACUGGACUUGCAGCUUCAUAAAUCAGGAAGCUCUCGCCAUUCAAAUCAUCAUAUUGACAGCAAAUUUGCAUAAUUUUCCUAGUUUGCUUUGCGGUUGAGGUCAGGUCUCUCCUGUUCUCAGUGGGUGGCCCCUGGGAAGCGGCCAAGUGGGGGCCUUAAACUGGGGGGGGCAUCAGAGGCGCUUGGAGGGGUGAGAGAAGCCUGGGCGGAUGUGUGUGGGGGGUCUCUCUGGGGAGCAGCUUGCCAGGCCUCAGUGACAAUGCCUACCCACGGUGGCACAGCCCAGGAGAGCUGGGGUCUUCCCCGGAGACAGCAGGGACCUUCCUCCAGAGCAGGGUCUCAUGCCAACUGAUAAAUGGGCAGAGGCCAAAAGCGGGUAGUUCAGAGCUGUGACAUCCAAAUGGCUACUACGUAUAUGAAAAAUGAUUUUCUCACCAGGAAUCAGAAAUGCAAAGCCAAGCAAUACGGCCCUCGUGUGUCAUCCUCUGGGCUGAUGGUGUGACGGCCGAGAGCCUUGUUCAGCUCUGCCUCCUGGGACGGAACCGGCCGGUGUCCUUCCACACACUCCUUUGGGCCUGUCCACGCUGCUCUUGUCAAGCUGUCCCCAGGACAACGGAAAUGGACAACAGCGCUGCGCCUCUCGUGGCGCUGCGUGUCAUC
rnacentral:lncRNA from 1 species